rnacentral:misc_RNA from 1 species
AAGCGUUCUCAGGGCGGGGUGGAAUUCCCCACCGGCGGUGAUGGCGACCUGUUCGCACGAGCCCGCGAGCGCCCGCGGCGCGCCACGCGCCGCGGGGUCAGCAGACCUGGUGAGAUCCCGGGGCCGACGGUUCAGGACUUGUGUUGCCGUCA